UACGUAGGGUGCGAGCGUUAAUCGGAAUUACUGGGCGUAAAGCGUGCGCAGGCGGUUCGCCAAGUCAGGUGUGAAAUCCCCCGGCUUAACCUGGGAACUGCGUCUGAUACUGGAAGGCUUGAGUGCGGGAGAGGGAUGUGGAAUUCCAGGUGUAGCGGUGAAAUGCGUAGAUAUCUGGAGGAACACCGGUGGCGAAGGCGGCAUCCUGGACCGACACUGACGCUGAGGCGCGAAAGCUAGGGUAGCAAACGGG
rnacentral:rRNA from 1 species